rnacentral:rRNA from 1 species
AUUGAACGCUGGCGGCAGGCUUAACACAUGCAAGUCGAGCGGUAACAGAGAGAAGCUUGCUUUUCUGCUGACGAGCGGCGGACGGGUGAGUAAUGCCUAGGAAUCUGCCUAGUAGUGGGGGAUAACCUGCCGAAAGGUAAGCUAAUACCGCAUACGUCCUACGGGAGAAAGGAGGGGACCUUCGGGCCUUUCGCUAUUAGAUGAGCCUACGUCGGAUUAGUUAGUUGGUGAGGUAAUGGGUCACCAAGACCGGGAUCCGUAACUGGUCUGCGAGGAUGAGCAGUCGCACUGGAAACGAGACAAGGUCCAGACGCAUACGGGAGGCAGCAGUGGGGAAUAUUGGAAAAUGGGGGGAACCCUGAUCCAGCCAUGCCGCGUGUGUGAAGAAGGUCUUAGGAUUGUAAAGCACUUUAAGUUGGGAGGAAGAGCAGUUAACUAAUAUUUGACUGUUUUGACGUUACCGACAGAAUAAGCACCGGCUAACUUCGUGCCAGCCGCCGCCGUAACAC